UAGGGAAUCUUCCGCAAUGGGCGAAAGCCUGACGGAGCAACGCCGCGUGAGUGAUGAAGGUCUUCGGAUCGUAAAACUCUGUUAUUAGGGAAGAACAAAUGUGUAAGUAACUAUGCACGUCUUGACGGUACCUAAUCAGAAAGCCACGGCUAACUACGUGCCAGCAGCCGCGGUAAUACGUAGGUGGCAAGCGUUAUCCGGAAUUAUUGGGCGUAAAGCGCGCGUAGGCGGUUUUUUAAGUCUGAUGUGAAAGCCCGCGGCUCAACCGUGGAGGGUCAUUGGAAACUGGAAGACUUGAGUGCAGAAGAGGAAAGUGGGAUUCCAUGUGUAGCGGUGAAAUGCGCAGAGAUAUGGAGGAACACCAGUGGCGAAGGCGACUUUCUGGUCUGUAACUGACGCUGAUGUGCGAAAGCGUGGGGAUCAAACAGG
rnacentral:rRNA from 1 species